CCCUUAGAUGCUCUGGGCCGCACGCGCGCUACACUGGUCGAUGCAACGAGUUUCUUUCCUUGGCCGACAGGCCUGGGCAAUCUUUGAACAUCGAUCGUGAUCGGGAUAGAUUCUUGUAAUUUUUGAUCUUAAACGAGGGAUUCCUAGUAAACGCAAGUCAUCAGCUUGCAUUGAUUACGUCCCUGCCCUUUGUACACACCGCCCGUCGCACCUACCGAUUGAAUGGUCCGGUGAAAUCUCCGGACUGGCGUGAGUCGGAGCAAUCUGACAAACACCGGAAAGUUGAUUAAACCUUACCAUUUAGAGGAAGGUGAAGUCGUAACA
rnacentral:rRNA from 1 species